rnacentral:lncRNA from 1 species
UGUGUGUCACAAUUUAUAAGGAUAUAAAGUGAUGAGAAUAUAGAUUUCUAUGCUAAAAUUGUAUCUCAAACUUAGGGUUCAUUAAACAAAUUCAAGCGUAUACCUGUGAUGCAAAGUGAAAAGUUAAAGAUUAAAAAUGUGGAUGAAAAUAUUAUAGAGUAAUUACUAACUAAAAUCUAAAACAAUUGGAUGAUGAUAUUAAGUAUAUAUAUCUACAUAAGUAUUGUGUUCGAAUAUUUAACAAACGAGAGGUAGCUUAUGGUAAUAGUUUUGUAGCAAUGUAUUCUCAUUUUUUUUUCCAUUGGAGACUCCGCAUUAGUUCCCACGAGACAAGCUAGAAAAAAGAGACAAAUUCUCAUAAAAUUAAAAACAUAAAACACCAAUCCUGUAAACUCUAAUAAUCAUAGCCAUUGAUCUAUUAUAUUUUCUAAAAAGUUACCCACCACUGUCAUUAUGAAAAUAUUCAAAAAUGAGCUCUAAACCUAUAUCUAAAUUACUAUGCUCAGCUAUUAUAAAAAAUAAUCUAAAGUAAUCCCAUAAUCUCCGUCCAAUUUACUAAUACACAUCAUUAUAAAGCAUAACUUAAAAUGUCAUUCUAAAAUUUUAUCUAUAUUACCC